GCCCAGGUGGCGGAAUUGGUAGACGCGUCGGCUUCAGGUGCCGGUGACCUUUAACGGUCGUGGAAGUUCGAGUCUUCUUCUGGGCACCA
rnacentral:tRNA from 3 species